rnacentral:lncRNA from 1 species
GGAGAGAAGAGUGGAUCUUUGAUUUGAUCUUUUUGCCAUCCUAGCUUUGAUUGUGCUAAGGAGCGGCUGUAACAGGACAUGGUUAAGUAAUCCAAUGAUCUAUUUCAUGCCAUCUUGUUCCAUCCCAUUUGGAUUUGCAAUUUCUGUCUGUGUUCUUCGCGUUCUUGCUUCUUCCUGUCCGCCCCCUUCACAUUUUUGUUCGAUUCAUGAGUUGUGGGGUGUUUUGAGUCAAACCAAUUGUUUGGAGAUGAAA